rnacentral:rRNA from 1 species
UACGGAGGGGGCGAGCGUUAUUCGGAAUUAUUGGGCCUAAAGCAUCCGUAGCCGGUCCUACAAGUCUUCCGUUAAAUCCACCUGCUCAACAGAUGGGCUGCGGAAGAUACUAUAGGGCUAGGAGGCGGGAGAGGCAAGCGGUACUCAGUGGGUAGGGGUAAAAUCCUCUGAUCCAUUGAAGACCACCAGUGGCGAAGGCGGCUUGCCAGAACGCGCUCGACGGUGAGGGAUGAAAGCUGGGGGAGCAAACGG